rnacentral:rRNA from 1 species
UACGUAGGGUGCAAGCGUUUGUCCGGAAUUAUUGGGCGUAAAGAGCCCGUAGGCGGCUUGUCGCGUCGACUGUGAAAACCCGCGGCUCAACCGCGGGCCUGCAGCCGAUACGGGCAGGCUAGAGUUCGGUAGGGGGAGACUGGAAUUCCUGGUGUAGCGGUGAAAUGCGCAGAUAUCAGGAAGAACACCCGUGGCUAAGGCGGCUCUCUAGUACGGUACUGACGCUGAGACGCGAAAGCGUGGGGAGCGAACAGG